UACGUAGGGUGCGAGCGUUGUCCGGAAUUAUUGGGCGUAAAGAGCUUGUAGGCGGUCUGUCGCGUCUGCUGUGAAAAUCCGGGGCUCAACCCCGGACUUGCAGUGGGUACGGGCAGACUAGAGUGUGGUAGGGGAGACUGGAAUUCCUGGUGUAGCGGUGAAAUGCGCAGAUAUCAGGAGGAACACCGAUGGCGAAGGCAGGGUCUCUGGGCCACUACUGACGCUGGAGGCG
rnacentral:rRNA from 1 species